GACUGUGACAUCAGCAGGCUGAAGGAGCAGCUGAAAGCAGCCACAGAGGCACUGGGCGAGAAAUCUCCUGAAGGCACUACUGUGUCAGGAUAUGACAUAAUGAAAUCUAAAAGCAAUCCUGACUUCCUGAAGAAAGACAGAUCCUGUGUUACCCGGCAACUCAGAAACAUCAGGUCCAAGUCCGUAAUUGAGCAGGUCUCAUGGGAUAACUGAGUCGCGCCCGCUUCCAAGUCCCCUGUCGUGUAGAGUCUGAAGGAAGGCCUGACGGUGCAGGAGCGCUUGAAGCUCUUUGAAUCCAGGGACUUGAAGAAAGAUUAGCUGCAUCCAUUCCACUGACACAUCCUUCCCAGCUGGUGGCAGCACAAGCCAAGAGUGGCUUUCAUCUGUGCUUUCUCAUUGUUGCUGUCAUUAACUGUGGGUAUGGAUGCAUGAGAGACUGCUGUGGGGUGUUUGCUCCAUUCCCUCCCUGUUAAUUCCAACUUCCUGUUGUCUUUAUCACAGCUUUUUUCCCAUGGUAUUCUCAGAUUAGUCACGCGAAAGCAGUAGAGUGGGGAGGUGUCCCCACUGACACCUGAGCAGCCCCUUGUCCUCCCACCACACUGUCAGUAUUAAGGCACAACAGCCUGUUAAUAAGCUAGCCCUGCCUCGGAGUGCACGUGGGGACGGACCUGCCAGUGGCUCUGCUCUGCCACACACAGCGGAGCACCACCCUUGCUGGGUAGAGCAGAGCCACCGAAUGUUCUAGGUUGACCUGGUUUCUGAAGGGCCUAGGAUAGUGUCCAGCCUGGCCCACUUCCUUUUGAUGUGGGAGGAGGACAGCAUUUUGUAUUUGGCCCACUAAUGCAGCUUAGAACCAUACCCAGAUAAUCCUGGCAAAUCUUUCACGACCUGGAAAAUGUUGAAAGCAACCAUUCCUAUUUUGGUUUUUUAUUAAAUCUUG
rnacentral:lncRNA from 1 species